rnacentral:rRNA from 1 species
CAGCAGCCGCGGGAAAACGAAGGGGGCUAGCGUUACUCGGAAUUACUGGGCGUAAAGCGUGCGCAGGCGGUUCGUUAAGACAGAUGUGAAAUCCCCGGGCUUAACCUGGGAACUGCAUUUGUGACUGGCGAGCUAGAGUAUGGCAGAGGGGGGUAGAAUUCCACGUGUAGCAGUGAAAUGCGUAGAGAUGUGGAGGAAUACCGAUGGCGAAGGCAGCCCCCUGGGCCAAUACUGACGCUCAUGCACGAAAGCGUGGGGAGCAAACAGGAUUAGAUACCCCAGUAGUCCCUGUCUCUUAUAC